CAGUAGCCACGGUAAUACGGAGGGAGCUAGCGUUGUUCGGAAUUACUGGGCGUAAAGCGCACGUAGGCGGCUCUGUAAGUUAGAGGUGAAAGCCUGGGGCUCAACUCCAGAAUUGCCUUUGAAACUGCAUCGCUUGAACACGGGAGAGGUGAGUGGAAUUCCGAGUGUAGAGGUGAAAUUCGUAGAUAUUCGGAAGAACACCAGUGGCGAAGGCGGCUCACUGGACCGUUGUUGACGCUGAGGUGCGAAAGCGUGGGGAGCAAACAGGAUUAGAUACCCCUGUAGUCCCUGUCUCUUAUAA
rnacentral:rRNA from 1 species